UACGGAGGGGACUAGCGUUGUUCGGAAUUACUGGGCGUAAAGCUCACGUAGGCGGAUUUGUAAGUCAGGGGUGAAAUCCCGGGGCUCAACCUCGGAACUGCCUUUGAUACUGCGAAUCUCGAGUCCGGAAGAGGUGAGUGGAAUUCCUAGUGUAGAGGUGAAAUUCGUAGAUAUUAGGAAGAACACCAGUGGCGAAGGCGGCUCACUGGUCCGGUACGUCGACGCUGAGUGCGGAAAGCG
rnacentral:rRNA from 1 species